UACGUAGGGGGCGGGCGUUGUCCGGAAUCAUUGGGCGUAAAGCGCGUGUAGGCGGCUCGGUAAGUCUGCUGUGAAAGUCCAGGGCUCAACCCUGGAAUGCCGGUGGAAACUGUCGAGCUUGAGUCCGGAAGAGGCGAGUGGAAUUCCUGGUGUAGCGGUGAAAUGCGCAGAUAUCAGGAGGAACACCAAUGGCGAAGGCAGCUCGCUGGGACGGUACUGACGCUGAGACGCGAAAGCGUGGGGAGCAAACAGG
rnacentral:rRNA from 1 species